GUGCUCGCUUCAGCAGCGCAUAUACUAAAAUUGGAACGAUACAGAGAAGAUUAGCACAGCCCUACGCAAGGAUGACACGCAAAUUCGUGAAGCGUUCCAUAUUUUU
rnacentral:snRNA from 1 species